AUUGAACGCUGGCGGCAUGCUUUACACAUGCAAGUCGAACGGUAACAGGCCGCAAGGUGCUGACGAGUGGCGAACGGGUGAGUAAUGCAUCGGAACGUGCCCAGUCGUGGGGGAUAACGCAGCGAAAGCUGCGCUAAUACCGCAUACGAUCUAUGGAUGAAAGCGGGGGACCGUAAGGCCUCGCGCGAUUGGAGCGGCCGAUGUCAGGUUAGGUAGUUGGGGGGGUAAAGGCGCACCAAGCCAACGAUCUGUAGCUGGUCUGAGAGGACGACCAGCCACACUGGGACUGAGACACGGCCCAGACUCCUACGGGAGGCAGCAGUGGGGAAUUUUGGACAAUGGGCGCAAGCCUGAUCCAGCAAUGCCGCGUGCAGGAAGAAGGCCUUCGGGUUGUAAACUGCUUUUGUACGGAACGAAACGGUCCUGGUUAAUACCCGGGGCUAAUGACGGUACCGUAAGAAUAAGCACCGGCUAACUACGUGCCAGCCGCCGCAGUAAAAC
rnacentral:rRNA from 1 species